ACAGGUUGCCCAAGGAGGUUGUGGAUGCCCCAUCCCUGGAGGCAUUCAAGGCCAAGCUGGAUGUGGCUCUGGGCAGCCUGGUCUGGUGGCUGGUGACCCUGUACACAGCAAGGGGGUGGAAACUAGAUGAGCAUUGUGGCCCUUUUCAACCCAGGCUAUUCUAUGAUUCUGUGAUAAGAUAAGAGCCUAUAUAAUAUCACGUUUAGAAUUUUUUAAGCCAGGAAUUUUACUAAGGCCUGGAUUAGUCAGCACAAUUAAGAGUUACCCUUCAUGACCAAUUAUUCAGUCAUCAAGGGUAAAACGUAUGUGCCCACACCCUGCUGUUUUAAAUACAGUGCUCAUAUAGUUUCUACGUGCAUCCACAUCUAUGUGUGCUAAAAGCAGUAACACUAAAGUUUUGAGACAAUCUGUUGAAAGACAGGCUGGAAGUCUUCAGCCAACCGUCUGCACAAGCAACAAUUUACAUAACACAGCAGCCCUAGCACCUUUUAUCAGAGGCACACAACAAGACUCUCAUCACAAGGGUAGCUGCAGCAUAAUACACACACACACACACGCUGUCCAUCACAGGUUUGGCUCCUGCUUUCUCUUUUGCAAAAAUGAUGCACUUCCUGGGCAUCCAGUGGAUGGAAACGUGAACCCCCUGGUUGUGUUUGCUGCUGAAGUAGCUCUGUGUGUGUUCUCUGUGACACCAAAGCUGGUUGGAUUUCUGCAUCCCCAUCAGCCUCUACAUGAAUUCUCACUUCACUAUUUACACUAGCUUAACUUUCUCUGGACAAUGCUGUAAACAGAUGCAUUUUAAAAUGACCUAAAGAGACAGAUAAAAUGUCAGCUCUUUUUCCCCCUCAUGUGCAAGAUUUCCUUUAGUUCAAAACAAUUCAAAGGCAAACCAAAAGUCGAAGGCUUUAUAGGAUACUUUGUUAUGCAAGCAAGCUUCAGCCAAUUUAUGUUGAUGCAAAAACUGCAUCCAAAAAUUUAAACAGAUGACCCAAUAUGUUUCCUUCCUGCACCAUACAAGUGAUCUCAUACACAACAAUGUAUUUUCCAGACAGUUUUUCCUGAAGAAAACCACUAUUUUUAGCUCUUAAAAGUGUGUCUUUUCAGAUAGUGUUUGCUGCGAGUCUGCUUUGAUCUUAAUGCAUAUCAAAGGAGUAUAAAUUACAAAUUCCUAAAUAAACUGCUUACAUUUAACUAUGCACUCUCUUUAAAUUUUAAUCAGAGUAGAACACAAAAGAAAUAGUAUUUCAGCUCCUAGGAUCCCAGCUUGGUUGGAUAUUCCACGUCUCCUUUAUCAGCCCUUUGCCAGCUGCUCAACUCUGAGAUAUUAUUUGAUUCUCGAUGGUACUUAUUUCCAUGCCUUUUGCUGUCUUUUUGGUUAACAGUCUACAGUGAUUCCAACAAAUAAAGGAUAUAGAUGCAUUAAAGGAUGCUUCAACUCUGUGUAAGUAUUAAAAUUCAAAUCAAGACACAAAAUAUAAGAUAUUCAAUACACAAUGGGAAGCACAUUUCAGUAGAAGCCGCCUUAUCCUGUGAAUCAGGAUUUCCAAGCACAGCUACUGUUUAAAAAGUAAAGUAAGGCAGAAAAAAAAUAUCAAGAUCCUUCUUACAUUUAUCAUCAGAUGUGACAUAUUUAUAAGGUUUAAUGCAACCAUGGAUUGUGUGUAUUUUAGGACAUAGCUAUAACUGAUGGAUGUACUUUUGACUUCCUGUCUCCCUAAGAAGCUGAAGUGUUUCUUCUAGUUAACACAGUACAAGGACAGGAAUGGAAGACAAGGGUAGAUGCCCUGAAUAACAAUAUUAGUCUAACAGAACAUGACUAGUUUAUUCUCUCUUCAGCAGUCUGUGGAGACAGGACAAGGGGAAAUGGCCAUAAACUGGAACAUAGGAAGUUCUGCAUGAGUCUGCAAAGGAACUUCUUCAUGACACACUGUUGCACGCCUCUUGAGAUCUCUGCUUCAAGGACAGAAGCAAGCAGUACAGGAAAACACUGAGGACUGACUCAGAUUUAGAUUCCUUUCCCCCCUUAUAAAAAGAGUGGAAUCCCUGAGCAACAAGUUUGAAGAUCAUUCCCCAGGGCUGGCAACUGAAUGAGCAGCAUCUUUGGAUAGAGACUGCACUCCUCUCAAGCUGUUACUGAUUAUUGGAAGGGGGC